rnacentral:tRNA from 3 species
CAAAGUGUAGCUUAAGCCUAAAGCAUCCGGCCUACACCCAGAAGACUUCACAAUUAACGUGACACUUUGA